rnacentral:rRNA from 1 species
UACGGGGGGAGCAAGCGUUGUUCGGAUUUACUGGGCGUAAAGCGCGCGUAGGCGGCUUUGCAAGUCGGGUGUGAAAUCCCCAGGCUUAACCUGGGAACUGCAUUCGAGACUGCAUUGCUAGAGUAUGGGAGAGGGAAGUGGAAUUUCCGGUGUAGCGGUGAAAUGCGUAGAUAUCGGAAGGAACAUCAGUGGCGAAAGCGACUCCUGGACCAAUACUGACGCUCAUGUGCGAAAGCGUUGGGGAGCAAACAGG